rnacentral:rRNA from 1 species
CACGACGAACGCUGGCGGCGUGCUUAACACAUGCAAGUCGAACGGGCCUUGUCCCCUUUUUUUGGGGGUGGGGUUAGUGGCGAACGGGUGAGUAACACGUGAGUAACCUGCCCCUCACUUCUGGAUAACCGCUUGAAAGGGUGGCUAAUACGGGGUGUUCUGGCCUGCUCGCAUGGGUGGGUUUGGAAAGAUUCGACCGGUUUGGUUGUUUUGGUGGGGGAUGGGCUCGCGGCCUAUCAGCUUGUUGGUGGGGUGAUGGCCUGCCAAGGCUUUGACGGGUAGCCGGCCUGAGAGGGUGGGCGGUCACACUGGGACUGAGACACGGCCCAGACUCCUACGGGAGGCAGCAGUGGGGAAUAUUGCACAAUGGGCGCAAGCCUGAUGCAGCGACGCCGCGUGAGGGAUGGAGGCCUUCGGGUUGUGAACCUCUUUCGCCAGUGAAGAAGGUCCUGCUCUUUGUGGUGGGGUUGACGGUAGCUGGGUUAAUGAAGCGCCCGGCUAACUACCUGCCAGCCGCCCGCGGUAAUACGUAGGGCGCGAGCGUUGUCCGGAAUUAUUGGGCGUAAAGGGCUUGUAGGCGGCUGGUCGCGUCUGCCGUGAAAUCCUCUGGCUCAGCUGGGGGCGUGCGGUGGGUACGGGCUGGCUUGAGUGCGGUAGGGGAGACUGGAACUCCUGGUGUAGCGGUGGAAUGCGCAGAUAUCAGGAGGAACACCGGUGGCGAAGGCGGGUCUCUGGGCCGUUACUGACGCUGAGGAGCGAAAGCGUGGGGAGCGCACA